UUUCCGUAGGUGAACCUGCGGAAGGAUCAAUACGAAUGUGUGAGUGAUUGGUGACAUGUUGGUAUGUUGUUGUGUGUGUGUACGAGAUGAUGAAACAAAUUUUUUUUUUACUGAUGAAUGACUUGCCACCUUGGAUCUCUGGGCUCUUGCAUCGAUGAAGAAGCAGC
rnacentral:misc_RNA from 1 species